AUUAGCCCGAGGAGGUCGAGAAGAUUGUUUGGCUAAGGGAUGUUGUUAUGUUCCUGAUUGGAGGAAUCUUACUAUUCCCGCUUGCUUUCGACGACUGGAAUAUGGGCAAUGCUACAACGUAACUGAAAAUGAAAGAGAAGAAUGUGGUUAUCCAGGUAUCAAUAAAACGGAAUGCUUGAAAAACAGACAAUGUUGUUACGACAGCACGAUCUCCGUGCAAGGAACUUAUGACAGAAUUCCAUGGUGUUACUAUAAAAAGAGAUCACCAGUCGUUGAAAAAGAAAGAUGUUCUCGUUCUCUUCCAUAUGUACAGAGACAAGGAUGCUUUCGGAAUCACAACUUAAAUUUUGUGAUAUCGAGGGAAUCAUGUGAGGCCGUCGAAGGAUGUUGUUACCAAGAUGUUAAACUCAGAUGGUUUGAUCGAGUUAUCGGCAGACAAGUAAAACCCCCACCGUGUUACAUAG